CUCGUUAUGAGUGAUUAGAGUAUAUACUUCUUAGAACUCAAUAAUAGUUUUCAUAAAGCAGCGUACUUAAACAUUUUGUAAAUUCUUAGUAUAAAUAAUAGUUUCAAAUUAAAUUUUAGCAUCAUUCAAUAAGAUGAAGUUGUACGCUUUCUUUGGAUUUGCUUUGGCAUUAUUAGCUGUAGCUUUGGGAAACCCUAAUCCCGAACCUCAUCCUAAUCCUCUGCCAUUAGGAGGUGGUGGUGGUGGAGGCGGCGGUGGUGGUGGCAAGUAGAGUCUCAUGCUAUCCUGCUCAAAUAAUUAUGAUUAAUUAAAAAAUAAAAAAAUGCUGUUAUUGAAUACUUUAAAAA